rnacentral:tRNA from 1 species
GCUAAAAUAAUUUAUAAAAAAUAUUGGUCUUGUAAAUCAAAAAAAAGCUUAACUUUUUUAGCU